rnacentral:rRNA from 1 species
UAGUGAUUUCCGUAGGUGAACCUGCGGAGGGAUCAUUACCGAGUGAGGGUCGCCCCCGCGCGCCCGACCUCCCAACCCUUUGAUGUGAUCAAGACCUCUUAUGCCUCGGGGGUGACCCGGCCUUGCGCCGCGGUCCCCCCGGUGGACACCAACCAAAACUCUGCAUCAGUUGUCGUCUGAGCAUAAAGUUAAUUCAAUCAAAACUUUCAACAACGGAUCUCUUGGUUCUGGCAUCGAUGAAGAACGCAGCGAAAUGCGAUAAGUAAUGUGAAUUGCAGAAUUCAGUGAAUCAUCGAAUCUUUGAACGCACAUUGCGCCCUUUGGUAUUCCGAGGGGCAUGCCUGUUCGAGCGUCAUUACACCAAUCACGCCUGGCGUGGUAUUGGGCGACGGGGUCCCCCCGCGCCUCCAUUUCGUCGGCUGGCCGUCGAUUGACUUAUCGUUGUGACACAUGUCGCUAUUGAAAUCGUGGGCCGCGCCGUUGAACUUCUUGGGCGUCUUA